GGAAAAGUCGUAACAAGGUCUCCGUAGGUGAACCUGCGGAGGGAUCAUUACAGAGUUCAUGCCCUUCCGGGUAGAUCUCCCACCCUGUGUUAUCGUCACCUUUGUUGCUUUGGCGGGCCGCCCAGGCCUCGGCCCGGCUACCGGCUCCGGCUGGUACGCGCCCGCCAGAGGACCCUAAACUCUUGAAUAUCAGUGUCGUCUGAGUACUAUGUAAUAGUUAAAACUUUCAACAACGAAUCUCUUGGUUCUG
rnacentral:misc_RNA from 1 species